rnacentral:rRNA from 1 species
CCAACCCAUGUGACUUAUCUCUUUGUUGCCUCGGCGCAAGCUACCCGGGACCUCGCGCCCCGGGCGGCCCGCCGGCGGACAAACCAAAACUCUUGUUAUCUUAGUUGAUUAUCUGAGUGUCUUAUUUAAUAAGUCAAAACUUUCAACAACGGAUCUCUUGGUUCUGGCAUCGAUGAAGAACGCAGCGAAAUGCGAUAAGUAAUGUGAAUUGCAGAAUUCAGUGAAUCAUCGAAUCUUUGAACGCACAUUGCGCCCAUUAGUAUUCUAGUGGGCAUGCCUGUUCGAGCGUCAUUUCAACCCCUAAGCACAGCUUAUUGUUGGGAACCUACGGCUUCGUAGUUCCUCAAAGACAUUGGCGGAGUGGCAGUGGUCCUCUGAGCGUAGUAAUCUUUUAUCUCGCUUCUGUUAGGUGCUGCCCCCCCGGCCGUAAAACCCCCAAUUUUUUCUGGUUGACCUCGGAUCAGGUAGGAAUACCCGCUGAACUUAAGCAUAUCAAUAAGCGGAGGA